rnacentral:hammerhead_ribozyme from 1 species
AUCCAGUUGACGAGUCCUAAAUAGGGCGAAACGCACGUCCUGGAU